rnacentral:rRNA from 1 species
AUAAAAAACCAAUGCCCUUCGGGGCUCCUUGGUGAUUCAUAAUAACUUAACGAAUCGCAUAGCCUUGUGCUGGCGAUGGUUCAUUCAAAUUUCUGCCCUAUCAACUUUCGAUUGUAUGGUAUUGGCUUACAAUGGUUUCAACGGGUAACGGGGAAUUAGGGUUCUAUUCCGGAGAGGGAGCCUGAGAAACGGCUACCACAUCCAAGGAAGGCAGCAGGCGCGCAAAUUACCCAAUCCCGACACGGGGAGGUAGUGACAAUAAAUACUGAUACAGGGCUCUUUUGGGUCUUGUAAUUGGAAUGAGUACAAUUUAAAUCCCUUAACGAGGAACAAUUGGAGGGCAAGUCUGGUGCCAGCAGCCGCGGUAAUUCCAGCUCCAAUAGCGUAUAUUAAAGUUGUUGCAGUUAAAAAGCUCGUAGUUGAACCUUGGGUUUGGUUGGUCGGUCCGCCUCACCGCGUGCACUGAUCCGACCGAAUCUUUCCUUCUGGGGAACCGUAUGCCCUUCACUGGGUGUGC